rnacentral:rRNA from 1 species
AACGAACGCUGGCGGCAUGCCUAACACAUGCAAGUCGAACGAGACCUUCGGGUCUAGUGGCGCACGGGUGCGUAACGCGUGGGAAUCUGCCCUUGGGUUCGGAAUAACAGUUGGAAACGACUGCUAAUACCGGAUGAUGACGUAAGUCCAAAGAUUUAUCGCCCAAGGAUGAGCCCGCGUAGGAUUAGCUAGUUGGUGAGGUAAAGGCUCACCAAGGCGACGAUCCUUAGCUGGUCUGAGAGGAUGAUCAGCCACACUGGGACUGAGACACGGCCCAGACUCCUACGGGAAGCAGCAGUGGGGAAUAUUGGACAAUGGGCGGAAGCCUGAUCCAGCAAUGCCGCGUGAGUGAUGAAGGCCUUAGGGUUGUAAAGCUCUUUUACCCGGGAUGAUAAUGACAGUACCGGGAGAAUAAGCUCCGGCUAACUCCGUG